rnacentral:rRNA from 1 species
AGCAUGUGGUUUAAUUCGAUGAUACGCGAGGAACCGUUACCUGGGCUCAAAUGUAUGUUGACGUAUUCUGAAGGGAUACUUCUUCGGACAAUAUACAAGGUGCUGCAUGGUUGUCGUCAGCUCGUGCCGUGAGGUGUCGGGUUAAGUCCCAUAACGAGCGCAACCCCUGCAUUCAGUUGCCAUCGGGUGAAGCCGGGCACUCUGGAAGGACUGCCAUCGACAAGAUGGAGGAAGGUGGGGACGACGUCAAGUCAUCAUGGCCCUUAUGUCCAGGGCGACACACGUGCUACAAUGGCCGGCACAACGGGAAGCGAGUUCGCGAGGACGAGCGGAUCCCUUAAAGCCGGUCGCAGUUCGGAUUGAAGUCUGCAACUCGACUUCAUGAAGCUGGAAUCGCUAGUAAUCGCAGAUCAGCCAAGCUGCGGUGAAUACGUUCCCGGGCCUU